rnacentral:rRNA from 1 species
AUGGCGGUGGGCGCGAAGCUGCACCUCUCGCCGGCCGCCCGGCGCCCGACGCUGCCCCAGCUCCUGGCCGUCGCGCUGCUCUGCUCCGCGUCCUACCUCGCCGGCGUCUGGCACCACGGCGGCUUCACCGCUGCCCCCGCGGCCGGCGGCGGUGGCGCCUCCCCCUCCCCCGUCUCCAUCGCCACCGCCGCCUCCGUCGCCUGCGUCUCUCCCACCACGGCCGGCGUCGCCCGCGUCGGCGGCGCCCCCCUCGACUUCGAGGCGCACCACGCCGCGGACGACACGGAGGCGGUGAACGCCGCGCCGGCGCGGCGCGCGUACGAGGCGUGCCUGGCCAAGUACUCCGAGUACACCCCGUGCGAGGACGUGGAGCGGUCGCUGCGGUUCCCGCGCGACCGGCUCGUGUACCGGGAGCGCCACUGCCCGGCGGAGGGCGAGCGGCUGCGGUGCCUCGUCCCGGCGCCCAAGGGGUACCGCACCCCGUUCCCGUGGCCCACCAGCCGCGACGUCGCGUGGUUCGCCAACGUGCCGCACAAGGAGCUCACCGUGGAGAAGGCGGUGCAGAACUGGAUCCACGUCGACGGCGACAAGUUCCGCUUCCCGGGCGGCGGCACCAUGUUCCCCCACGGCGCCGGCGCCUACAUCGACGACAUCGGCAAGCUCAUCCCCCUCCACGACGGAUCCAUCCGCACCGCGCUCGACACCGGCUGCGGGGUGGCGAGCUGGGGAGCGUACCUGUUGUCACGCAACAUCCUGGCCAUGUCGUUCGCUCCGCGGGACUCGCACGAGGCGCAGGUACAGUUCGCGCUGGAACGCGGGGUGCCGGCGAUGAUCGGCGUCCUCGCCUCCAACAGGCUCACCUAUCCUGCACGCGCCUUCGACAUGGCGCACUGCUCCCGCUGCCUCAUCCCCUGGCAGCUCUACGAUGGGCUGUACUUGAUCGAGGUGGAUCGCAUCCUUCGUCCUGGGGGCUACUGGAUCCUGUCCGGGCCACCGAUCAACUGGAAGAAGCACUCGAAGGGGUGGCAGAGGACCAGGGAGGAUCUGAACGCAGAGCAGCAAGCCAUCGAGUCAGUCGCCAAGAGCCUCUGCUGGAAGAAGAUCAAGGAGGUUGGCGACAUUGCGAUCUGGCAAAAACCUACCAACCACAUCCACUGCAAGGCCUCCCGCAGAGUCAUCAAGUCCCCGCCGUUCUGCUCCAAUAAAAACCCAGACGCUGCCUGGUACGACAAGAUGGAGGCUUGUAUAACUCCUCUCCCGGAGGCUAGUGACAUCAAGGAGGUCGCCGGCGGUGAGCUGAAGAAGUGGCCGCAGAGGCUCACUGCCGUGCCACCCAGAAUUGCCAGUGGCAGUAUUGAGGGGGUCACUGCCGAAAUGUUUAACGAAGAUACCAAGUUAUGGAAGAAGAGAGUUGGGCACUACAAGUCCGUGAUAAGCCAGUUUGGGCAGAAGGACCGGUACCGCAACUUGCUCGAUAUGAAUGCGCGCUUUGGCGGCUUCACUGCGGCAUUGGCGGGUGACCCUAUGUGGGUCAUGAACAUGGUCCCAACCGUUGGAAAUUCAACGACCCUUGGGGUGAUAUACGAGCGUGGCCUCAUUGGAAACUACCAAGACUGGUGCGAGGGCAUGUCCACCUAUCCCCGGACCUACGACCUCAUUCAUGCUGAUUCAGUUUUCAGUCUGUACAAGGACAGGUGCGAGAUGGACACCAUCCUGCUGGAAAUGGACAGAAUCCUGAGGCCGGAGGGCACGGUGAUCAUCAGGGACGACGUGGACCUGCUAGUGAAGAUAAAGAGCGUCGCGGACGGGAUGAGAUGGAAUAGCCAGAUCGUGGACCACGAAGACGGUCCGCUCGUCCGGGAGAAGCUCCUCCUUGUUGUGAAGACAUACUGGACACUCGGGGACGAGAAACAAUAG